rnacentral:rRNA from 1 species
AUUGAACGCUGGCGGCAGGCCUAACACAUGCAAGUCGAGCGCGCGGCGGACGGGUGAGUAAUGCCUGGGAAUUGCCCAGUCGAGGGGUAUAACAGUUGGAAACGACUUCUAAUACCGCAUCAGCUUGGCUUCCCCAUGUGGGAUUAGCUAGUUGGUGCGGUACUGGCUCAAAAAGGCGACGAUCCCUAGCUUGGCUGAGAGGAUGAUCAGCCACACUGUAACUGAGACACGGUCCAGACUCCUACGGGAGGCAGCAGUGGGGAAUAUUGCACAAUGGGGGAAACCCUGAUGCAGCCAUGCCGCGUGUAUGAAGAAGGCCUUCGGGUUGGAAAGCACUUUCAGCGAGGAGGCGUUACUCGCAGAAGAAGCACCGGCUAACUCCGUGCCAGCAGCCGCGGUAAUAC